GGUUCCUAGAGCGCCGGCGAUGUCACUCUCUAGGAGCGGGACUGCCAGUCCAGGAAUCAACUCCUGGAUCAGGGCCCCCCAAGUCCCUGCCUUGGGCUCCUCCCACUGAGUCCCGUGUCAGGGGCUGGCCAGUCACAGGAGUGCGAUGCUCCAUCCCCCAUGGGUGUUCCAAUGCUGCUUCAUCAUCCCAUAUAGGAAACUGGCCCUUGCCAUCAGCCAGGAGUUCCCCUGGCCAACUGAUCCUGGCAAAAAGUGUACAUCAGAGCCUGACUUAGUCUUUGCAUCUCUCUCUGGCUCAGGGAGAAACACUCUUCACAGAUUGGAAGACAGACGUCCUGGUUUGCUCCCGCACACUGAUCUACAAUUCUGCAAGCAAAUGCAUUUGAAAGUUCGGUCAGGAGAACGUGAAGGAUGAAAAGUUGGGUGAGAUGAACAAUGCGAAGCAAGUGCCUUCAUUCUGUCAUACUUGGUGAUUGUUGACAGAGCAAAAGUAGAAGACAAAAGAAAGAAAGAAAGCCCAUUCCAUCAAUUGGACCUGCUCCCGCCACUUGCUUCUACCUCCAUCAGCCCCUCCAUCCCCUGCGAUUGUAUUAUAGGUUUGUGUCAAGGUAUGUUAGAUGCUAAAUUAAAUGUCAGCCCCCUGUACAUUCCAGCAGCAGAAAAUGAGUUGCUGGACUUGGAGAAUAUCCAGCUGCUCAGCUCAGUGUGCUGAAUGCUGUGGUGUGACAAGCCCACUGAAUCACUCCCUCGGCAGAUUUCCAGGCCAUGUACAGCCAAGAUAAAUUUAUUUUUAAUGGUAAAUUUUAUUGUCAGAGUUAAGUCGAAACAGCUUUUAGCAAGCAGCGCUCAGGCUGCUCUUGAAGACUGCAGGGUGUGAGGCUGGGAACUUGCCAGGGGCAAGAAUAAGCCAGCCAGCCUGAGAGCAGUUUUCCUUCUCCAAAUAAGAAGGCUCCCUGUCCCUUUAUAUGCAAACAUUCUGCCAUAUUUACUUACUUACAACAACAAACAUAAACGAGUGGAAAACAAGGCCCUAUUCAGCUAUGAUGUUGUUGUGUGCUGGGCCCAUAACCUGUUGGGUUAUGGGCCCAGCAGUUGUAGGAGUGUACAGAUGUCUGCACACUACACAAUUUUUUAAAUAUUGCAUUCAUUUUAAAAGUCAGCCUGGGUACAGGCCCCAUAAAUGUUAAAAAACGGUAGGGAGAGGAAAUACACUGCCGUACCCAUGUUCAACAUAAUGUGUUGAUGACUGUACCUGUCCCCCACACACCUUGAGCUAUUUAAACUAUUCUCAAGCUAUAGUCUGUAUCUUUUAAAAGCCAUACCCUGAAUUUGAAUUAUUCCUGACUGUGAAAAAUUUGACAAGAUUAAUUCUCUUCACAGUUCUCCCCUCCUGUAAGAGAAGAAUAUUAGGAAAGAAGUUGGUUUUGAGAAUAUUAUUGUCCAAGUUAGUUUCAGGGGCAUAGGGGCAUUUGAUAUAUAUAUUUUUAAAAAUCUGCCUUGGGAAAUUGGAGUUCCCAAAGUGACUAACAGCAGAACAUAAAAAUGAAUAAAAGAU